rnacentral:tRNA from 1 species
AUGCGCGUAGUUCAGUCGGUAGAACGGCGGUCUCCAAAACCGCAGGUCGCUGGAUCGAAGCCAACCGCGUAUGCCA